CGUGGGUAACCUGCCUCAUACAGGGGGAUAACAGUUAGAAAUGACUGCUAAUACCGCAUAAGCGCACAGCAUCGCAUGAUGCCGUGUGAAAAACUCCGGUGGUAUGAGAUGGACCCGCGUCUGAUUAGCUGGUUGGUGAGGUAACGGCCCACCAAGGCGACGAUCAGUAGCCGACCUGAGAGGGUGACCGGCCACAUUGGGACUGAGACACGGCCCAA
rnacentral:rRNA from 1 species